AGUGCGCAUGCGCGGCCUGCCGGGGGCGGCCUCUUGCAGUUCCCGCCCUGACGCAGCGCGAGAUUAGAGCUCCCGCUAGUCUCCAGCUGACCCUGGGCCUCAAAGGCAAGCCCUGAGCUCAGUCACACGGGGUGGCGGUGAUAUGGUUUGGCUCUGUGUGCUUCACUCUGCCUCACUCGCCUUCCGCCUGCUGGACGCUGCCCUGUUCCCCGCAGGCGGCCGCCGUGGAGGGCAGGCACCGCGCUCCCUGGCUGCUCCCGGGGCCUUCCAAGCACAGCCACGGCCAUGAGGCAGAAACCGAGACCUUCAGGGGCCUGCGGGCGGAGCUCCACAAGCCCAGCUGCUACACUGAAGGGAAGAACCUGAGGAAGCCCCUGACCUUCUUGAAUAACCUGGAUAUUGCAGAAUCAAGCCUGGCACACGGCACUGGCAGAGACGCAGAAGGGAAAGUGUCCAGCGAUGAGAGAUACCGGCCAGGGGGCAAAUCUUCAGCUUGCAGCACUCACUUUGCAGAUCCAGUUGGAAUUAUUUGUGUUGACGCUCUCUGCUCUCUCCACUCUCCCCUGGAAAUGACGAGGAACUGAGUACAGUGGACAAUGGCUUCCGUGUCCCCAGCUCCCCCCGAGCCAUGAGCUGCUACAUCAAAGGUCUGCAGUGGGCUUCCCUUCCCAUAAUAUUUCAAUUUAAGCACCGACUCGCUGCUGCGGAAUCACAUCUCAUUCACGCUGCGGCCUUUGCAGGAGUCAGGGAUCAUUAUGGAGCAAGCACUGAGAAAAAACAGAUUACAGCCUGGCACCGAGCAGCCAGGUUGCACCCCAGAUGCUUCAGGGACAUGGUGCCUGCUCUGGAGAAUGGGGCAGCUUCCACAGUGCCCAGGAGCCAGGGCUUCUGACCCAGGAGCGAAAGUCUGUCUCUUCCAUUUCUGGGAGCUGGAAGUAUUUGCAUGACUUUCUGGGCCUCAGGUAUCCCAUUGCCCACCAGGAAUUACCUUCCUCCAGGAUCAUGGUGAAGAUGACAUGAGAUGCUAAUGCUUGGCCUGCGGUAAGUACGUUGUAAAUGUAUAAACUGUUAUUUUAAAUCACAUGUGCUGACCCAUUUCCUUUAAAGGACCCUUUAAAGGGUCCACUGAAAAUCCCAUAUGAUUAUUAUAGCUUUGACUUAUGAACUGGCUGGAGGAGUCCAGAAAUUGUGCUUCUGCAGUCUAGGGCUCAUGUAGUCUGGGCUGCUUGAGGAGCUGGGGUCGCACUAUAGGUUCAUCCCCUGUGACCCCGUCACCUGCCUACAGGUGUACACUCCUCACCAUCUCCCCAUGACCCCACUACCUGCCCACAGGUAUACUCUCCCACCAUCCCCCUGUGACCCCACCAGCUGCCCACAGGUGUACUCUCCCACCAUCUCCCUGUGACCCCAUUCCCUGCCCACAGCUGUAUUUUGCCCACAAUCCCCCUGUGACCCCAUCACCUGCCCUCAGGUGUAUUCUCCCCACCAUCCCCUGUGACCCCAUCACCUGCCCUCAGGUGUACUCUCCCCACCAUCUCCCCAUGACCCCAUCACCUGCCCACAAGUGUACUCUCCCCGCCAUCCCCCCGUGAGCCCAUCACCUGCCCACAGGUGUAGUCCCCCUUCCAUGAGCCCACCACCUGGCCAUGUCAUCUUCCGUUGCCCGUCCUCUUGGCCUCUGAGUGGUCCUGGCUGAUGGCUAAAGUUUCCAUGCCCCUG
rnacentral:lncRNA from 1 species